UACGGGGGGGGGCAAACGUUGCUCGGAAUCAUUGGGCGUAAAGCGCACGUAGGCGGCCCGUUAAGUCGGAUGUGAAAUCCCUCGGCUCAACCGAGGACGUGCAUUCGAAACUGGCGGGCUCGAGUAUGGAAGAGGGUCGCGGAAUUCCCGGUGUAGAGGUGAAAUUCGUAGAUAUCGGGAGGAACACCAGUGGCGAAGGCGGCGACCUGGGCCAAUACUGACGCUGAGGUGCGAAAGCGUGGGGAGCAAACAGG
rnacentral:rRNA from 1 species